AACGAAACGCCAAAAAGUGGCAGCUCCCCCUCCUCCUCCGGAUGCACCACAGAUGGAAGAAUCCCAGCAGGAAGAGCCUCAAACAGAAAGUACAUCAGUUGAUGUGGGUGAACAAGCAACUGGUCCGGUGGGUCCAAUUAUAUCACCGGCGGCUCUCCCGAUUCAGACAACCGUUGUUCCCCCUCCAGCCGAUCAACCUGCAGUUCCAUCGGCAUCUUUGGCCGGUCAGUCCGCAGCUCCGUCAGCAC